CUCGACAAUAAAAAUAAUAAUCUUCGCCUAUUUAUACCUCAACAACCCCUCUCCUUCUCUCGCUGAACUCCGGCGAGUGGUGCUGAAAUCAAGCCGACGCGCGGUGUCGUUCUUCGGCCUCCUCCCUCUUUCACCUCUCUGCGCUGCCGUCCGUCUCUCCAUGGCUUCUCUCUCUUGACAUUGACUUGGACACGGUUUCGGCCGGCGAGGGAUCGAGCAGCGGGUCUGCUCGGCCGUCCUCCUUGGCCCCUUCCACCUCCUCCAAGAAGCCGAAGAGGUUCGAGAUUAAAAAGUGGAAUGCUGUCUCCCUCAGGGCCUCGGAUAUCGUGGUGCAAUGUGCUCUUUGUAGGAACUACAUCAUGGAUCUUUACGGGUUCUAUUUGAUUUUAUGUUUUUUUUUCCGCAGCAUUUGUUUUGCAAUUUUUUUUAAAAAUUUUGUGGGUUGAUCAGUUGUUCAUUACUUCACGUUGCUGGCUCUACGGUGCAGGCAUUGAGUGCCAGGUUAAUCAGGUUAAUGCGAGUAGUGAAGAGUGCAGUGUCUUGGGGUAUGCCUUUAUCCUAAUUCUAGCGUUUCUAUUUGCUAUUACGUUUUUGUUUCCGACGGACGUAUAUUUGUUAUUUAGUUAUUGAAAAAAAAAUCAAGCUUGGUUUGACACAGUCUGCUUCUUAGUGCAAAAGUUGGCUUAGUGUUUUUCUGUUUUUAUUGCAGAAAUAUACAACUCAAGAAGUAAGAAGUUCACCCUGAUAGGGAAUCAUUAUAAUUUUUAGGUUUAAUCAUUUUUACAUAUCCCGAGAAAGGAGACCAGUUCACCAAGCUCUUCGAUUGCACAUUCAACUAAGAAUUACUUUCCUUUAUUUUUAUAUAGGAUAAGUUGGAUUCUCAAAAAAAAUAAAUUUCUUGUG